rnacentral:rRNA from 2 species
AGACCCGAAACCCGGUGAUCUAGCCAUGGGCAGGUUGAAGGUUGGGUAACACUAACUGGAGGACCGAACCGACUAAUGUUGAAAAAUUAGCGGAUGACCUGUGGCUGGGGGUGAAAGGCCAAUCAAACCGGGAGAUAGCUGGUUCUCCCCGAAAGCUAUUUAGGUAGCGCCUCGUGAAUUCAUCUCCGGGGGUAGAGCACUGUUUCGGCUAGGGGGCCAUCCCGGCUUACCAACCCGAUGCAAACUGCGAAUACCGGAGAAUGUUAUCACGGGAGACACACGGCGGGUGCUAACGUCCGUCGUGAAGAGGGAAACAACCCAGACCGCCAGCUAAGGUCCCAAAGUCAUGGUUAAGUGGGAAACGAUGUGGGAAGGCCCAGACAGCCAGGAUGUUGGCUUAGAAGCAGCCAUCAUUUAAAGAAAGCGUAAUAGCUCACUGGUCGAGUCGGCCUGCGCGGAAGAUGUAACGGGGCUAAACCAUGCACCGAAGCUGCGGCAGCGACACUAUGUGUUGUUGGGUAGGGGAGCGUUCUGUAAGCCUGUGAAGGUGUGUCGUGAGGCAUGCUGGAGGUAUCAGAAGUGCGAAUGCUGACAUAAGUAACGAUAAAGCGGGUGAAAAGCCCGCUCGCCGGAAGACCAAGGGUUCCUGUCCAACGUUAAUCGGGGCAGGGUGAGUCGACCCCUAAGGCGAGGCCGAAAGGCGUAGUCGAUGGGAAACGGGUUAAUAUUCCCGUACUUGGUGUUACUGCGAAGGGGGGACGGAGAAGGCUAUGUUGGCCGGGCGACGGUUGUCCCGGUUUAAGCGUGUAGGUGUGUGUUCCAGGUAAAUCCGGUUCACUUUAACACUGAGGCGUGAUGACGAGGCACUACGGUGCUGAAGCAACAAAUGCCCUGCUUCCAGGAAAAGCCUCUAAGCAUCAGGUAACAUCAAAUCGUACCCCAAACCGACACAGGUGGUCAGGUAGAGAAUACCAAGGCGCUUGAGAGAACUCGGGUGAAGGAACUAGGCAAAAUGGUGCCGUAACUUCGGGAGAAGGCACGCUGACAC